rnacentral:rRNA from 1 species
GAUGAACGCUAGCUACAGGCUUAACACAUGCAAGUCGAGGGGCAGCAUGAACAUAGCUUGCUAUGUUUGAUGGCGACCGGCGCACGGGUGCGUAACACGUAUCCAAUCUACCCAUGGCUCGGGGACAGCCUUUCGAAAGAAAGAUUAAUACCCGAUGGUCUCGGUUUAAGGCAUCUUAGACUGAGUAAAGAUUUAUCGGCGAUGGAUGAGGGUGCGUCUGAUUAGGUAGAUGGCGGGGUAACGGCCCACCAUGCCUACGAUCAGUAGGGGUUCUGAGAGGAAGGUCCCCCACAUGGGAACUGAGACACGGUUCAAACUCCUACGGGAGGCAGCAGUGAGGAAUAUUGGUCAAUGGACGAGAGUCUGAACCAGCCAAGUAGCGUGAAGGAUGACUGCCCUAUGGGUUGUAAACUUCUUUUGUUUGGGAAUAAAGUUCGGGACGUGUCCCGUUUUGUAUGUACCAUUCGAAUAAGCAUCGGCUAAUUCCGUGCCAGCAGCCGCAGUAAUAC